UACGUAGGGUGCAAGCGUUGUCCGGAAUUAUUGGGCGUAAAGAGCUUGUAGGCGGUUUGUCGCGUCUGCUGUGAAAUUUCGGGGCUCAACCCCGAACUUGCAGUGGGUACGGGCAGACUAGAGUGUGGUAGGGGAGACUGGAAUUCCUGGUGUAGCGGUGAAAUGCGCAGAUAUCAGGAGGAACACCGGUGGCGAAGGCGGGUCUCUGGGCCGAUACUGACGCUCAGGCACGAAAGCGUGGGGAGCAAACAGG
rnacentral:rRNA from 1 species